CUGCAGGCCUGUCUUUGGGGUCCAUCCUAGGAGACUGUAGGUGCCAAGAUAGUGCCACCUGGAUGUGCACCAGGCCUGAGACACAGAGGGGAUCGUGAACAGGUCCACAGCAGAAUGGUGCUCAGCCAUAGGAGGGAUGGAGCACUGACAACCCCCCCCCUCCUUCUCCCCCCACUGCAGCGGGGAUGCACCUGGCAAACACAACACUCAGUGGAGGGUGCCGGCAGAGGCCCACACAGCAUGAUCCGUUUACGGGAAGUGUCCAGAAAAGCAAGUCCAUGAGACAGAGCUCAUGCUAGUGGUUGCUGGGGGCUGGGGGCUGGGAGAGAGGAGCCCCGGGAGUGGCAGGUCAUGGGCACGGGGUCCCCUCUGGGGAGGACUGACAUGGAGGGAGUGAUCACACACCUGGGUAAACCUUCCAAAUGAACCACUCAGUUCAAAGGCCGAACCUGUAUGUUUUGUGAACGUGAAUCGCACAGUGAGGAAACGGGGAGGUCAGGGGAGGCUGGGGGAUGGGAGCGCCUGCUGACCUCCGGCCUGAAUGUUUCUGCCCAAGCCCCUUGUGUGCUGGCCUGAAACCCUGCCACAGGGACCCUGCCUCGGGGCCCCCCCUGCGCCCUGGGGCCACAGCCUCUCCAGCACAGAAGUGACUUCAGAAUCCUCACGCCGGUUGCAAACAGAUCUGCUGAGAAGCUCCUUUCAAAAAUGCAACAACAGAAGGGCAGCUAUUGGUCCCUCCGCCAGAAAGAUCCAAGUCGUUAGGUUUGAAAGAACACCCCCAUAAGCCUUCCCGGUGACUGUGUGCAGCAUAAAGGUGGCGCGAGGAGACCUCAUCAGUGUGCAGGAGACAUCUGGAGAAAAUGAAGUGCAGAAACAGCCCCAGGCCCUGGGGAAGGCAGUAAGCCGCUCUGGGCCGCCGGAGCCUUCGGGGCAGGCCGGCACAAAUUGCCCAGCUUCCCAGGUCCUCGCAUAACCGGAGAGGCUGCAUCGAAAGAGCAUCCUUCCUCAGUCGGAGCUCCAGCCAGGAGCCCCUCUGCCCUGGGUGAGGCGGGCACGGACAGGGGGUGGGCAUCAUGUUCCCCAGACCCCCAGGACCGUUGGCACAUUCCAGCCGGCAGGCACUCUCUCAAAAGUCAGGAUGCAGAGCCAAGAACGGGAGCGUUUUAUGACUUUGGAAAUAUAGGCUGUGCAAUUGUGUGUUGUUUACUCGUUGGGAGAGCUGAGGUCCUUUAUUUGGGUUUUGUGGUAAUUUCAGGCUAAGGAUUCAUGACUCAGUCCAUCAUUCCUAAAAAUUCUUUUGGGAGACUGACUAAAAAAUAAUAAAAGCAGGGAGCAGAGGGGAGGAGCUGGUGAGCCAGCGGGGCCAUCCUGAGCCACGGCCCCAAGGCACCUGCUGUAGGCCAGGGUCCCAGCCAGGUCACGGAGCUCUUGGGGACUUGAUGCUGAAACUGCACUUGGAGACUUGGUCACCUGCUGCUCAAUGUAGGAACAAUGGACAUUCGGUCUCAGAAAACAGGUCAGAGAAGUGAAGAAACCUAGCUGCUUCCUGGGUCUGGACCACACCGGCUGAGAGCCACCACAUCCUCAAUCCCAUCCUGCCCUGGGUCCCACCCUGAACCCUUAGUUUAGGGCUUGGUCUUUUCCGAUCCCACAAUGGGAGCCUUGUGCCCCCUCCUGCCCUAAUGGUAGCAAAUAAUCCCUGAUGGGAAGCUACCCCCAGCCUCUCCCCGGACAACCCCAUCUAAACAUCAAAACAGCAGCCAGGAGGUAGGGGUCUGGAGAGAGAGAGAGAGAGAUAGGAGAGACGGCCCCAGAUCAGCGGGUCCCUUGCAGGGUGUCCCCUUGGCCAUACAAGCAGGAGCUGGGAGGGCGGUGAUCAGCAGGGUAAGG